UCUGUUGUUGGAGAAGUACKGGUGUCAGAGUAACUGUUGACAUCGUGACGGUAUCCWACCAGAWAGCCACGGCUAACUACGUGCCAGCAGCCGCGGUAAUACGUAGGUGGCAAGCGUUGUCCGGAUUUAUUGGGCGUAAAGCGAGCGCAGGCGGUUUUUUAGGUYUGAUGUGAAAGCCUUCGGCUUAACCGGAGAAGUGCAUCGGAAACCGGGAGACUUGAGUGCAGAAGAGGACAGUGGAACUCCAUGUGUAGCGGUGAAAUGCGUAGAUAUAUGGAAGAACACCAGUGGCGAAGGCGGCUGUCUGGUCUGCAACUGACGCUGAGGCUCGAAAGCAUGGGUAGCGAACAGGAUUAGAUACCCUGGUAGUCCAUGCCGUAAACGAUGAGUGCUAAGUGUUGGAGGGUUUCCGCCCUUCAGUGCUGCAGCUAACGCAUUAAGCACUCCGC
rnacentral:rRNA from 2 species